AGUGAACGCUGGCGGUAGGCCUAACACAUGCAAGUCGAACGGCAGCACAGUAAGAGCUUGCUCUUACGGGUGGCGAGUGGCGGACGGGUGAGGAAUACAUCGGAAUCUACUUUUUCGUGGGGGAUAACGUAGGGAAACUUACGCUAAUACCGCAUACGACCUACGGGUGAAAGCAGGGGAUCUUCGGACCUUGCGCGACAGAAUGAGCCGAUGUCGGAUUAGCUAGUUGGCGGGGUAAAGGACCACCAAGGCGACGAUCCGUAGCGGGUCUGAGAGGAUGAUCAGCCACACUGGAACUGAGACACGGUCCAGACUCCUACGGGAGGCAGCAGUGGGGAAUAUUGGACAAUGGGCGCAAGCCUGAUCCAGCCAUACCGCGUGGGUGAAGAAGGCCUUCGGGUUGUAAAGCCCUUUUGUUGGGAAAGAAAAGCAGCAGAUUAAUCCCCCGCUGUUCUGACGGUACCCAAAGAAUAAGCACCGGCUAACUUCGUG
rnacentral:rRNA from 1 species